ensembl:lncRNA
GAAAAAAUCAUUACAAAAUAUAUGGCAACAUCAGAAUUGCAUUUUCAAAUAUCAGACAAAGGAAUAUUGAUGUAAAUGAGAAGGGAGAUGAGCCUAGACAUGAUUUUUUGCUAAACAGGGAGAUGGGAAAGCUGCACACUAGAUGUGUUUUGCACUGAAUCUUUAAGACAUGCCUUUAGUGGCAGAAUCUGCAGCGAGGUCUGAGUUGAAGAUAACGUCCUCUGCAUGCACAUGAGUGACAGGGGUAGUGUCACUGUGACUGCAAAAGGAGAUGAAAGAGCAGAGAUCACAAUGAGGUGCUUGCUGUAAUGGUGAAGUUAAAGAGUGAAAGCUGGAACAAUUCGCUUUGGGAAGGUACUUGAAAAGGUCAGUCUCCCUACUACAGAUGGUGAUGUUUUGAUGGAUAAAAAAAGAGUUUGCUGUUUGGAUUUAGACAGCAGUUGAAGAGUGGCACUGAAAUGGAGAUUCAGACACCUGCUUUUGCAGCCGGCUGCGCACUGAAGUACAGAGCUGGAGAGAAGCAUUGGAAUGUGGAGAUAAUUGAAAGACCUGAUGUAUUUGACUUGACCUGAUAUACCAAAGUAUUUCUAGAAAUUUUUUAGACGUUGUGCUAGUGAUGGAGUUGCCAUGACAUUUUCAUAGUGGAUGUGCUAUUUCAGCUCCUUAUAAUUCUGCUCUAAAAAUUACCUUUUAAGAUAUUUUUUUGUGUGUGUGUGUGUACGAGAGUAGUAUUCAAAGGUGCUAAACUGACAACACUUACCAUCUAUUUCAUGGGCAUCUACAGUGCCCAGCUCCCAGCAGUGCGCCAUUAACACCUUAUUUCUUGAAUCUGGAAGGCAGCUGCACAUUUUAAUAUACUUGGCUAUCUGCUGGGAUUGACAAAGGCUUUGCAAGAAUAUGAAGAUCAGACAUUUCCUCUGAAGGCUUCUUUCAUUUGGAGCAUGAACCCUCCUUUCUUUUCCCUUUACUUGAAACAAUCUGAAUCAACUAAAGGAGGUUAAAAUCUACUAAGGGGUACUUGCCAUAUAAUAGCCAGAAGCUUCCACAGAAUAAUAUCACAGACUGUGUUUUUUUUUAAGCUAUUUUCUCUGCUAUAAGUUUUAUAUACUCAUAAUUACUGAAUUAGAAGGAC